GCCAGACUCCUACGGGAGGCAGCAGUGGGGGAUAUUGCACAAUGGGGGGAACCCUGAUGCAGCGACGCCGCGUGGGUGAAGAAGUAUUUCGGUAUGUAAAGCCCUGUCGGCAGGGAAGAAAUUGGACGGUACCUGACUAAGAAGCCCCGGCUAACUACGUGCCAGCAGCCGCGGUAAUAUGUAGGGGGCAAGCGUUAUCCGGAUUCACUGGGUGUAAAGGGAGCGUAGACGGCCAUGCAAGCCUGGAGUGAAAGCCCGGGGCCCAACCCCGGGACUGCUCUGGGAACUGUGCGGCUGGAGUGCGGGAGGGGCAGGCGGAAUUCCUGGUGUAGCGGUGAAAUGCGUAGAUAUCAGGAGGAACACCGGCGGCGAAGGCGGCCUGCUGGACCGCGACUGACGUUGAGGCUCGAAAGCGUGGGGAGCAAACAGGAUUAGAUACCCUGGUAUC
rnacentral:rRNA from 1 species